UUGGAAAUUUGCAAUUCUAUGCAGUGGAAUUGCAAGGUUAGUUUCAUGGAUUACGGCUAGCGUGGGAUUUAGUUUUAUUCUCAAGUUUCAUUGGGUUUUGUUACUGGUUUCUAGGCCAAAUCUCAAUCUACUGGGUUUGCAGUUACAAUGCAAGCAAUUAAUUCAUCACUCAUAGGAGCUUAAGUUCUAGCAUUGCUAUCAGAAUUUAUUUCCAUCUAGAUCCUCUGCUGCUUUUGUAGAGUCACAGGAUUCUCAUAGGGACCAUUGGCGUCAACUGUGAAAAUAGAAUUUACCGCCAAAAAUUGCCAUUUUCCUAUGGAAAUUUCUGAAAGGAGGAUUGCCCACGAAUGAUCAACUUCAGCAAAUUGUUUCAAAUUGUUAGUUGGAUUGCAAAUCUUAUGGAGAGGCUGAAGACAUUAUUCACACUUUUCUUUCUUGUCCGAUAGCUAGGCAAGUAUGGCUACUGUCUCCUUUGAUGUUACGUUCAGAUUAUCUUCAAAGCAACUCUACCAUGGAUCGAUGGAGUGAACUAGUAGCUCAUCUUCAAAAUUCCAAUGAUCUCCUCAAUGACCUGAGACUUUUUGGUUUUAUUCUGUGAAGCUUAUGGAAAUCUAGGAACAAUUUGGUUUUUGGAAAUCACUCCUCUUCCUCUCAGGAGAUUGUUUCGUUGGCUUUGAAAAUGUUACUUGAUUAUUCUGCAGCAAACCAUCGGAACAACUCAUCUCCAAAUCAUAUUACAACUCUUCCUCAAAUAUGGUCCCCUCCUCCCUCUGGUUUUAUUAAAAUCAAUUUUGAUGGUGCAGUGGAUAAAUUUAACAAGAUGGGUGCUAUUGCAGCAUUAGAUAGAGACUCAACCAGCUCAAUUCUUGGUUGAUCCUAUAGGCGUAUUGUUGAUCCCUUAAUUCUGGAGGCACUUGCUUGUGCCCAAUCUCGAGAUUUCUCUACUAUCCAGUUUGAAGGAGAUUCACUUGUUGUCAUUCAAGCUAUUCGGUAGCCCUCCAAUAGGCCGUUAUCCAUUUCUGGUUUGAUUAAUGAUGUGAUUCAGCUUGUUGCUUCUUUCAAUACUUCCAUGUUUUCUCAUGUCAAUAGGACAAGGAAUAUAGCAGCACACACUUUAGCUAGGAAGUGCUUGUUUUAAUAAAGUUAAAGAAGAAUGAAGUUGAAUUCUCAUUCAAAUAUAUGAAGGAAACGUUACAGUAGCUGUAUAUAUACAAAAUGAUCAUCUUGAGGAACAAGAAAAUGCAUGUGCUCUCUCCAAGAAUCAUGGUAACUAAUCAUAAAAAGACAAAAUCAGUUACAAAGAAUUAGUUAACUAAUAAUAGGAAUUAGUUAACUAAUAAUAGAAUAAAAAAACAAAAUCAGUUACAAAGAAUUAGUUAACUAAUAAUAGGAAUUAGUUAACUAAUAAUAGAGAAAGAAUCUUCUAGAAUAACAAGUCUCAAUUAACCAACAGGUUGAUCAAUCAUUGGCUUGGUAUGUUUGAGCUGUUGAUUGAAGCCACUUGGAAGAUUGGUGCUCGUUUGAUGUUGCUUCUUGUGUUGCUGAAGAGUCUGCUGUUGUAGCAGAGAAUCAUCAUGCUGCGUUUUCAUUUGAUCAAUAGCCCCCCUUAAGCUUGGAGUGUAAAUAUCUUGAACACCAAGCUUGGAUAGAAAGUCAUGAAAAGUAGUAGAGUGAUGUGCCUUGGUAAAGAAAUCGGCUAAUUGAUGUUUGGAAGCAACUGGAAGUAAAUGAAUUACUUCUUUUAUAAAUUUUUCUCUCACCAAAUGACAAUCAAUCUCUAUUUGUUUAGUUCUUUCAUGGAAAACAAGAUUAUGAGCAAUGUGCAUAGCAGAUUGAUUAUCACAAUUUAAUAGAGCUAGUUUUUGAUGAGAAAUACCAAAGUCUUAAAGCAUAUAUGUAACACCCCAAAUUUUUAAAUUUAUUAUUUUAUGAGUAAAUAUUAAUAUUCUAUUUUAUUUAAAUUUUAGGAAAUUAUUUGAAUUUUUUCGGAUUUUAGAAAUCAGGUUCAAUUUUUCGAAAUUAUAAAACUUUAAUGAUUUUUAAAAAUUUAUUUAAAGACCACGUGGUAAAACUAAAAAUAUAUUUGGACUCUACAAAUUUUUCUGAGUAAUUUAGAAUUUUUUCAGAAUUUUUGGGCCUCAUUUUCGGUCCCAAGGUAGAGUAAAAAUUUAAAAUUUUGUAUCCUGAAUCGAAUCGACCGAAUCGAACCGAACCGGAUAGGACCAGUCGAAUCGGUCCGGCCUUCCUCCUUCUUUUCUUCUCUUCCCCGCACAUCCUGACCCUUCUUCCUCUCUCUCCCGUUUUCUCUCUCCUCCCUCCUCCUCACGCCGCGCCGCCACCACCCAGCUCUCCCUACCUUGCAGGCAUGUCGCCCCAGCCUUUCUCUACAGCCAGCCGGCCUUCCAGGCGGCUGAAAAUGACUCGCGAAGAGGCACGACCCGCAACGGGCAGUUUCGGCUUCCCGGCCAAAAUUCGGCCGAUCCGGCCACCGAUUGGGCCAAGUCUUGUGUCAAACACCAUCUACACCUCGAGAGCUUUCCAUAGACACCAAGAACUAAAAUCCAUCGAGCGGUUUGUCCAAUUUUUAUCCGGGAAGUUUUAGCUUAUUUUAACUUUUGGGCUAGAUUUCUCGCAAACUGUGAACCCCACAAGAAAACUGAGAGUAUCAGAGCGCUCCACUCAUCGAGAGUUUCACGGCAAUAUAAAUUUCAAAAUUUUUUGACACUAUUUUUCGGUACCUUUAAUUCGCGGAAAUUCAACGGUUGCCCGGGUCUGUGAAUUUCUGGCCAGACAGACAGGCUACAAAAAAAGUCUCAGAAUUGGGUCGAGAUUUUGGCUACCCCACCGUUGUCAAUCAUCCCGAGCGCGUUUCCGAGAUCGGAAUCGGCAUAGGUGAGCCGGGACAGCCUUCCUCCUCCGCCUAGCCGCCACAGUGACUUCGGUUGAGUCUGCUACAGGAGGAUUAUUUGUUGUGGCUAACCUGCUCUUCUUUUUCGCAGGUCUAUUAAUAGUAUUUAAUGUAUUUUGUACAAUUGAGUUAAAUUUUAGACUCUGCAUGUGUUAGAAGUACUUAUUUUUAUUUUGG